UAAUAAUAAUAAUAAAUUUGGGAUGUUUAUUACCAUUUAACUAUAGAAAGUCUUGAAAAUUGGAGUGAUCAUGUUGGAAGUAAGUGAAAGCCACUCAUUUAUAUGAUACUAUCUUGCACCUCACUACAUUCUUGACUUGUUAGCAAAUAGAUGGGGUAUAAUGAAACUUGAGUUAGAAUCUGUUUAAAGAUGAUAGCAAUAAGUCUCUAUUGUCCUUGCAAUUCUAGGUUCAAACAAUAAUACUUGUUCAAAAUUCAAGUUAAACAUUGAAAAUUCCUAACUGAUGAAGUUUGUGGGUAACUUCACUGCAAACCCUCACGAGACAACACUCGUCCACUAGGGUAACCUAGGAAUUUAAAGGCUUGUUGCACAUGCUAAGUGCAAUCGUGAUUCCUUACGAAAAUGGGUACAUAUCUUAGUUUUGUGUAUUUAGCUUCAAUUAAAAAAAAAGUCAUAGGUUAGACUACAUUUUUUGUACCCUUAUUUUAUUGUUUGCUCGUUAAUUGCUAGAGACUAGCAAUAAGCUAGUUGGGGGGUGUGAUGAGAGCACAAAAGUGCGAUCUACAUAUCACCUAAAUUAGUGUUAUUGCUAACUGAUAAUGAUAAAUUCACCGGUUUAAUAUUAUAUUUUCGUUUGGUACAGAUUAUUACAAAUUAAAGUUUAAAUGCGCAUUUGGUACAGAUUGCGCAGGCCCAAUCCUACCAUGACCUAGUCGAGCACAUUUGCCCCCGAGUGAUUUUUCACAUUAUACUACCCAUCCCACGGUUUAUCAUCAGAAUCACGUCUUCAACACGUUGCGAUGUCCCAGCAUCCGCGCCGUCCAUCGGAUCACCUUCCAAAUCAGCCCCGCAUCCUAAGACUCUGCAAUCUCCCUGCAUCGCACAGCCCUCUUCCAGAUUAGCCUUCUUCCCGUCUCAGCCUGUGCGAAAACGAAGGAGGAGCAACGGUCCCCAUGAAGCAUCCAU
rnacentral:lncRNA from 1 species